GUGUCAGCCGCCGCGGUAAUACUUAGGGGGCAAGCGUUGUCCGGAUUCAUUGGGCGUAAAGAGCGUGUAGGCGGCCAGGCAGGUCCGCUGUGAGAACUCGAGGCUCAACCUCGAGAUGUCGGUGGAAACCGUCUGGCUAGAGUCCGGAAGAGGAGAGUGGAAUUCCUGGUGUAGCGGUGAAAUGCGCAGAUAUCAGGAAGAACACCCGUGGCGAAGGCGGUUCUCUGGGACGGUACUGACGCUGAGACGCGAAAGCGUGGGGAGCGAACAGGAUUAGAUAUCCUGGUAGUCCACGCCGUAAACGAUGGGUGCUAGGUGUCGCGGGUAUUGACCCCUGCGGUGCCGUCGUUAACGCAUUUAGCACUCCGCCUGGGGAGUACGGUCGCAAGGCUAAAACUCAAAUGAAUUGACGG
rnacentral:rRNA from 1 species